CUACAUGGCCCCCUCAAGGAUUGAACUCACAACAGUGGGUUUAGCAAACCAAUGCUCAAACCACUAAGCUACCCCACAGCUAUGGGCUGUGUGCAAACAAGAGGUAGCUGGGGCUAUGUGAACACAGAGGGUAGCUGUGGGUGCAGGGAGGCAGGUGGCUAGGGGCUGUGUGCGGGCAAGAGGGUAGCUCAGGGUGUACAGAGAGGGGGGUGUCUAGGGGCU